AAACUUAAAUGAAUUUGACGGGGACCCGCACAAGCGGUGGAUGAUGUGGUUUAAUUCGAUGCAACGCGAAAAACCUUACCCACCUUUGACAUGUACGGAACCUUUAGAGAUAGAGGGGUGCUCGAAAGAGAACCGUAACACAGGUGCUGCAUGGCUGUCGUCAGCUCGUGUCGUGAGAUGUUGGGUUAAGUCCCGCAACGAGCGCAACCCUUGCCAUUAGUUGCUACGAAAGGGCACUCUAAUGGGACUGCCGGUGACAAACCGGAGGAAGGUGGGGAUGACGUCAAGUCCUCAUGGCCCUUAUAGGUGGGGCUACACACGUCAUACAAUGGCCGGUACAAAGGGCAGCCAACCCGCGAGGGGGAGCCAAUCCCAUAAAGCCGGUCGUAGUCCGGAUCGCAGUCUGCAACUCGACUGCGUGAAGUCGGAAUCGCUAGUAAUCGUGGAUCAGCAUGUCACGGUGAAUACGUUCCCGGGUCUUGUACACACCGCCCGUCACACCAUGGGAGCGGGUUCUGCCAGAAGUAGGUAGCCUAACCGUAAGGAGGGCGCUUACCACGGCAGGGUUCGUGACUGGGGUGAAGUCGUAACAAGGUAGCCGUAUCGGAAGGUGCGGCUGGAUCACCUCCUUUAUG
rnacentral:rRNA from 1 species